rnacentral:lncRNA from 10 species
CUUGUUCCCCGGCUAGGGCUCCGCCUUCGGGGACCUAGGUGAGGACAGGCAUUUCCUGCCCAAAUGUUGCAUUUCCCAAGACCACCCUGGCCCACCACGCCCCCAUCCUGGGCCUAUAAAAACCCAAGACCCUGGCGGGAAGACACAGAAGUGGUUGGGCGUCGUGAGGAACGCAUCGGCGGCAGAACACUCAAGCGGCUGGUUGUUGAGAGCACGCCAGCUGAAGAGCACCCCUGCACACUGGCAGGCCAUCCACAGGUGUCAGAAACUCAGCUCAGCUGGAAGAAACUUGAUGUACCAGGUAUCAGAGUAGCAAGUAAAGCCACAAGCCAAAAAUGAAAGAGAAUCUUUUAAGUGCUUAUCGUGAUGGUGUAAGUAAUUGUCCAAAAGAAACGCCGAUUCCUUCUGUUCCAUUUUUACCUGUGGAUUGUGGAUUGAAAUAACCAUUGGACCAUGAGGAGAGACUCUGAAGAGAGGCUAGUGAUAUGUGAUAUAAUACUCUUUUGUGACGUUGGACCAUGGCAGUGAGCCGCAGCUCCCAGUCAGCAAUGCGAUCCCAAGAAUAAACAACCGAUUCUUGACAGUGUCCUAUGUUGCCAGUCGAUUUUGUUCAACAGUAGGUACAUGCAAGUACACCCCACUCCCAAAUUAAAAAGAUUGACCUUAGCCAAACAUAACACGAUGGUGAGGAGUCUCAUUUUUGCAGAAAACACAUUCCAGGGGCUUUCCACUUUCCUCCGAAUGUCCUAACCAGCUUAACCAUCAG